AUACGAGGGGUGCAAGCGUUAAUCGGAAUUACUGGGCGUAAAGCGUUCGUAGGCGGUUUGUUAAGCAAGAUGUGAAAGCCCUGGGCUCAACCUGGGAACUGCAUUUUGAACUGGCAAGCUAGAAUACUGUAGAGGGUGGUGGAAUUUCCAGUGUAGCGGUGAAAUGCGUAGAGAUUGGAAGGAACAUCAGUGGCGAAGGCGGCCACCUGGACAGAUAUUGACGCUGAGGGACGAAAGCGUGGGGAGCGAACAGGAUUAGAAACCCCGGUAGUCC
rnacentral:rRNA from 1 species